rnacentral:tRNA from 1 species
GUAGUUUUGAACAAGGGUGAAUAACCACCACAUUAAGUACCCGCUUUUGCACGGCGGAGGUCAGGGGUUCGAAUCCCCUCGGCUCCA